rnacentral:rRNA from 1 species
CGCCUCUUGAAAUAUAUAAGAGGUCCCGCCUGCCCAGUGACCUAGUUAAACGGCCGCGGUAUCCUGACCGUGCGAAGGUAGCGUAAUCACUUGUCUUUUAAAUAGAGACUAGUAUGAACGGCAUCACGAGGGUUACUCUGUCUCCUUUCCCUGAUCAAUGAAACUAAUCUUCCCGUGAAGAAGCGGGAAUGCUUAUAUAAGACGAGAAGACCCUAUGGAGCUUUAAACAAAAUAAUAACUGCUUUUUCUCCCACCGCCCUCCCUGAGGCAAUUACCACCAUUUUAGCAUUAUAAUUAUUAGUUUUCGGUUGGGGCGACCGUGGAGCAUAAACUAACCUCCAUGAUGAACCGGCACCAGCCUAAACAAAAAGCUACGACUUUAUGUAUCAGAAGACUGACAUAUCUUGACCCAAAAAUUUUGAUCAACGAACCAAGUUACCCUAGGGAUAACAGCGCAAUCCACUUCGAGAGUUCAUAUCGAAAAGUGGGCUUACGACCUCGAUGUUGGAUCAGGGUAUCCCAGUGGUGCAGCCGCUACUAAAGGUUC